UUGCGCAGAACGAAGAGGAACACGGUAAGUUUUCCGAGAUCCUGAUUGUUCUAUCUAUCUACCCACUCCGAUUCUCUCACCUAAUAUCUUCCUGAUUGUGAUGAUAUCUGCUAUCUGUAUUUGCAAGGACAAUCAGGUCAAUUUGGUCCCCAUUGGAACAACAAAAGGGGAAAAGUUGGCUUAAAUUUCAUAUGUUUAUCUAAAUUCAAACAAACAUAGAAAGAAAAGAAGUGGUUGGCAGGCGAUGGGGAUGGUGCCAACGUCUACCCUGAGUUCAUCGAUCCUAUGAUACCGAUUGACACCGAAGAAGUUGAGGAAAACGAUUCUGAUUGUCAUUCAGGCAGUUGUUUGAAUAGGACAUCAAGAAGGUGUAAAAGGGUAUUGGAAGGGCACUAAGGAUGAUAGAAGAUUAUGUGGAUCUCAAAUCAGGUGCUAAAAUGUCUGUUUUUAUCAGUUUUUUUGGCAUAUUUUACUGUUCUUGUAUGUAAUGAUUUUAGAAGCUCUAACCGAAUUAAAAAGAUAUGUUGACUAUUGGCUUAGGUUUCUAUUUUUUGUGUAUUUUCAACUGUAGUUGGAUGAAUAUGGGGAAGAAAACGAAGUAUAUGGUCUUGAAAUGCAUCCAAAUGGAACAAAAAAGCUUAUGGAAGUAGAAAUUUAUCAAUCUUUUCUGUAUUUUUCUAAUAUUCCAGAUUUCGUGUCGGUCUUUGAACUUUCCAUAUUGAUUUGCAAACCAGUGAUGAUUCGAGUAAUGGGAAGUAGGGCGAUGGAAAAACCUGCAAAGGAUGCAAAACACUUGCCAAAAGGGACUCAACUUCCUAGGUGACUUUAUUGAUCUAAGUCCAUUUUUUUCGUCUACAUACAUGCUGUCUAUUUUCUUUGUUCAGGAGCAACCCUCAGGUAAUCCCAUGGAGGCUGUCCCAUAUUAGACGGGGUAUUCAGGUUUCAUACAUUUACCACUUUUAACCUUUGUGAAUUGGAUACUAAAUCUAGAUGAGAUUAGAUGUUUUAAAUCUCUGCAAUCAAAUGACGUAGCUUUCUCUUUGCUUUAUGAUUUCCUCUCAAUUUCAAUAGAAAUAUUGUUGGUUCAUGUAACUAUACAUGUGUCAAACGUGAUAGGUCUUUUCUUGGCAGUUCGUAGUAUGAAUGAUCGAAAUUAGUGCAGUCAUAAGGAAAUGAAGAAUUGGUUUGCCAUGUCUCUUCUUUGGACUAAAAAUAAUAAUAAAAGGUAUUAUGGUCUUUUUUGGUUACACUUAAUUGUGAUAGAUAUUUUCAAGACAGUGUGAAGCUUCGAGUCCAUGAUUGGCAUGGGAAAAGGAGUCUUUGUUGUUUUAAAGAUUUGGUGCAAUAAAAGUUUUAAGGGGUAUUUUUGUAACAUGGAACAGUGAAAGAGUUAAAAGGGCAUAUUAGCUUUUUAUUUUAACGUAAGAGAAAGAUGGUGGAAAAAGAC